CAGUAGGAAGCUGCAUAGGGUCGACACAGGUUCGUAGGUAGAGAAUACUAAGGCGAAGAGAUAAUACUUGUAAAGGAACUCGGCAAAUUAUCUUCAUAAGUUAGACGAAAUGAAGGACCCUCUCUAAUUAUUUAUUUUGUUUUAAAAUAGCUUAUUAUUAAAUUAAUAGUAAUAACAAUUUUAAGAAUUGGUUUAUAAUUAGGAUGGUGGCACAGAAUCGGAGGCCCCGACUGUUUACUUAAAACACAGCUUUCUGCAACGAUUAAUAUCUUUGUAUAGGAAGCGAAUUUUGCCCAAUGCCAUUAAUAUAAUGUUGAUAACCUUUUGAGUGUUUAUUGAUUGAAGUUCUGGUCAAUGGCGGUCUUAACCAUGAGGAUCCUAAGGUAGCAAAAUUAAUUGUCCAUUAAAUGUGGUCCCGACUGAAUAAAGUAACGAUGGUCUCACUGUCUCUACAAGUAUCUCAGUGAAAUUGAAUUAGCCGUGCAGAUGCGGUUUAACUUCGGGUAGACGGGAAGACCCUAUGCAGCUUCUACUG
rnacentral:rRNA from 1 species